AGGGUAGAGGCGCGGGAUUCAUGAGUAGCGACCGUGGGGACGACAGAUCCGGUUCACGGCCGCCAAAGGGAAUCACCGCCGAAGCCGACCACGCUCUGUCACGUGUUCGGCUGGUUCAGACGGAAAACAUCCUCUGGACUGUCACGGUGAACUGCCGUGGAGCGCUCUCU
rnacentral:ncRNA from 1 species